rnacentral:rRNA from 1 species
UAGUCCACGCCGUAAACGAUGUCUACUAGCCGUUGGGAGACUUGAUUUCUUAGUGGCGCAGCUAACGCACUAAGUAGACCGCCUGGGGAGUACGGCCGCAAGGUUAAAACUCAAAUGAAUUGACGGGGGCCCGCACAAGCGGUGGAGCAUGUGGUUUAAUUCGAUGCAACGCGAAGAACCUUACCAGGCCUUGACAUCCAGAGAACUUUGUAGAGAUACAUUGGUGCCUUCGGGAACUCUGUGACAGGUGCUGCAUGGCUGUCGUCAGCUCGUGUCGUGAGAUGUUGGGUUAAGUCCCGUAACGAGCGCAACCCUUGUCGUUAGUUGCCAGCGCGUAAUGGCGGGGACUCUAGCGAGACUGCCGGUGUCAAGCCGGAGGAAGGUGGGGACGACGUCAAGUCAUCAUGGGCCCUUAUGGGCUAGGGGCGACACACGUGCUACAAUGGCCGGGUAC